rnacentral:rRNA from 1 species
AUACGUAGGGAGCGAGCGUUGUCCGGAAUUACUGGGUGUAAAGGGAGCGUAGGCGGGAGUGCAAGUCAGAUGUGAAAUACAUGGGCUCAACCCAUGGGCUGCAUUUGAAACUGCAUUUCUUGAGUGAAGUAGAGGUAAGCGGAAUUCCUGGUGUAGCGGUGAAAUGCGUAGAUAUCAGGAGGAACACCGGUGGCGAAGGCGGCUUACUGGGCUUUUACUGACGCUGAGGCUCGAAAGCGUGGGGAGCAAACAGGAUUAGAUGCCCUGGUAGUCCACGCUGUAAACGAUGAUUACUAGGUGUGGGGGGACUGACCCCUUCCGUGCCGCAGUUAACACAAUAAGUAUUCCGCCUGGGGAGUACGGCCGCAAGGUUGAAACUCAAAGGAAUUGACGGGG